rnacentral:sRNA from 1 species
UAAGUCCAGUCUCAGAGCAGGGGCGGAUACGUGCCUGCAUGCAGAUCCGUCCCUGCUAUAGAGACGACAACAGGCAUGAGUGUGAAGGACGGUAGUCCGGAACACGAAUGCCUGUAGCAUGGCGGGAGUGCGAAGCGCGAAGCCAUGCGUAGGACUUA